rnacentral:rRNA from 1 species
UACAGAGGUCUCAAGCGUUGUUCGGAUUCAUUGGGCGUAAAGGGUGUGUAGGUGGCGCCGUAAGUCGGGUGUGAAAUCUCGGGGCUUAACUCCGAAACUGCAUUCGAUACUGCGGUGCUUGAGGACUGGAGAGGAGACUGGAAUUCAUGGUGUAGCAGUGAAAUGCGUAGAGAUCAUGAGGAAGACCAGUGGCGAAGGCGACUCUUUGGUCUGUAACUGACGCUGAGGCGCGAAAGCGUGGGGAGCAAACAGG